rnacentral:rRNA from 1 species
AGCUCCAAUAGCGUAUAUUAAAGUUGUUGCGGUUAAAAGCUCGUAGUUGGAUUUCUGCUUACCAUCGACCGGUACGUGCGAUGCACAGUAUUUGGUUCGAUGUGGGCAUCCUCCUGGGGAACGCCACUGUCCUUAAUUGCGGCAGGGUGUAAUUCAGGACUUUUACUUUGAGGAAAUUAGAGUGUUCACGGCAAGCAAUUGCUUGAAUACAUUAGCAUGGAAUAAUAAUAUAGGACCUUGGUUCUAUUUUGUUGGUUUCUAGAACUAAGGUAAUGAUUAAUAGGGACAAUUGGGGGCAUUCGUAUUGACGCGUCAGAGGUGGAAUUCUUAGAUUGCGUCACGACGAACUACUGCGAAAGCAUUUGCCAAGGAUGUUUUCA